UACGUAGGGUGCGAGCGUUAAUCGGAAUUACUGGGCGUAAAGUGUGCGCAGGCGGCCGCGCAAGUCGAGUGUGAAAUCCCCGAGCUUAACUUGGGAAUUGCGCUCGAAACUACGUGGCUGGAGUGUGGCAGAGGAAGGUGGAAUUCCACGUGUAGCGGUGAAAUGCGUAGAUAUGUGGAGGAACACCGAUGGCGAAGGCAGCCUUCUGGGCCAACACUGACGCUCAUGCACGAAAGCGUGGGUAGCAAACAGG
rnacentral:rRNA from 1 species